UACGUAGGGUGCAAGCGUUAAUCGGAAUUACUGGGCGUAAAGCGUGCGCAGGCGGCUUUGCAAGACAGAUGUGAAAUCCCCGGGCUUAACCUGGGAACUGCAUUUGUGACUGCAUGGCUGGAGUGCGGCAGAGGGGGAUGGAAUUCCGCGUGUAGCAGUGAAGUGCGUAGAUAUGCGGAGGAACACCGAUGGCGAAGGCAGUCCCCUGGGCCUGCACUGACGCUCAUGCACGAAAGCGUGGGGAGCAAACAGG
rnacentral:rRNA from 1 species